AUUCUGCCCAUGCGGGGAAGGCAUGAGAAGCUUCGACCAAGGUUCGACUCGAGCGCCAGCGAGAGAGCGUUGCCGCAGGCAACGACCCGAAGGGCGAAGCGCGCAGCGCUGAGUAAUCCUUCCCCCACCACCA
rnacentral:sRNA from 1 species